UACGUAGGGUGCAAGCGUUGUCCGGAAUUAUUGGGCGUAAAGAGCGCGUAGGCGGUCCGGUAAGUCCGCUGUGAAAGUCAAGGGCUCAACCCUUGAAUGCCGGUGGAUACUGUCGGGCUAGAGUCCGGAAGAGGCGAGUGGAAUCCUGGUGUAGCGGUGAAAUGCGCAGAUAUCAGGAGGAACACCAAUGGCGAAGGCAGCUCGCUGGGACGGUACUGACGCUGAGGCGCGAAGCGUGGGGAGCAAACAGG
rnacentral:rRNA from 1 species